UGUGAAACAGCAUGUGAUGAUCUCCUCUAGGGUAUUCUGAGCUCAGUUGAAACUUAUGCGCCAAUUCCAACCCCUUGGCCAUCUGAAAGUCCCAAGAGAAAAGGAGGAAUAGCCCUGAAUUCCUGUCUGGCACUUGGUGUUUGGAAUGAGAGCAAAUGAUUUCUCUUUCCUGUCUUACUCAUCUGUUAAAUGGCCACUGCUGAUCUCCCCUGCUUCCUGAUUGGUGGAGGAAGUGUGGGGAGCUGGGGAGCUCCGUGUUAGGCAGGAGGCCUGCCUCAUCUCAGGCCAGUUUUGCGUGCUGAAGAUCCUAAAAGGUCUUUUCAGUUUGAAAGGCUGGAACUUAGGCAAAGCCAAAGGGGUUUGGGGUAAGGUGGGCCAGGAAAAUACAGAGUCCAGCUGGGGCAGGAGGAGUGAGAGGAAGGGAAUGGAGAAGGGAAGACUUACAGUGGUAUGUCCUUGGACUCUUGACAAGAAGGCCUUUCCCAUCAUUCCAUUCCAGCCGAUCAUUAGAUCAACCACCCUUAACGUCAAGAGUUAUUUACAGGCACCAGAGGAGUUGCCUAGAGCAUCAAGGCUACAUACAGCUUAGCUUGUGACUCAAGCCAAAUUCCUUUACCAUAGCAAUUGCAUGAUCUUGUUUUCUCUGAGCUUCAGUUUUCUCAUCCGCAAAAUGGAGCUAAUAUGUUCUGCUUCUAAACAUACGGCUUGAAGUGAUUCUAGGAGGUAAUCUUGGCACAGAGUGGACAGGUCACUCAACUCAGGACACCAGCAAGUUGAUAUCUCAAGUGGGACUGGAACCCAGACCUCCAGAUUGCUUCUUCUUGGGCCAUCACCCUGGGAUUCUCUCUGCCCUUCCUCUGCUGCUAUGAAGCCCAACAACUAACAAUAACUCUCAGCCACUCCAUACUUCUCCACAGCAUGGAAUGCCCUUGUCAGGAACCUGGUUGAUGGGAGGCUAGCCAGAGAGCUUCAGAAAGCUGGGUUGACUGUCUUAGUUGCUGGCCCAGGUAAUCUGGAAACUUGCAGUCAUGGGGAAGAGGGCUAUUCCAGUUGGCAGACCCCAUAGAGUCUGAAGCCAUGAUCUCACUAUGUACCUAUGCCUUCAAGCCUCCAGUAAUAUUGAUUUAGGUAUCCUUCUCCAUGAACCAACCUGUAUCCUUUUCCAUGAAUCAACCUGCCUUGGCAACCAACCUUGGCAACUUGGCAACAGAAGUCUUUUUCUAUUGCUUCAAGCAAAGCAUUAGGUUCAGAUGCUUUCACAAUGAUAGGUAGCCUUGGUGAAACUUUGAGCUCACAGAGUUUGUUAUCCUUGGCUGCCCAGUGACACUUUAUCAACAGACUGGAGUAGAGGUGAAGGAUGAAAAACAGAUAUACUGUUAACAGAAAUGACUUGCAGUAACCUACUGCAUGUCUGGCCCUGAGAGUUCAUCAUCUGCUAACAGGCUUCAAACAAACCUGAGUGAAAACAGAGGCUCUGAGACAUUCAGUAACUUGCCAAAACUAGUAAGUGGCCAAGCUGGAAUUUCAAUCCUGAUCUGAAAAAGCAGAUACUCUUGCAAUUUUUCUAAAUGCAUCUCUACAGGGUAUGAAUCCAGUCCCCAAGAAGCUUUUCAUCCAGGUGAAUAGACAAGCCUCAUCCAAGAAACCACAAAUUAGGAACAGUACUGGUGGAGAUGUUCUCUGUAGAAGCAAAGGCACGUAAGAGGGAAGACAUAGUUGUCUUAGUGGAUUUGAGGACAGUGAAUAGAUUAAGGCUUGCUGGCCUGGGGAGGCCUGGAAGAGGGGUGGGUCCCCCUUGUGACCAGCUUUGGAUGCCAUAAUAAACAGAAUGGGUCUUCUCUUCCAGGCACUGGGUAAUCUUUGUGAAGAUUUGUGACAGUAUAAAGUAACAGCAGCAGUUGAGGAUGAUGCAUUUCAGAUAAAUUACAAGUUCCUUCUUGGGGUGGGUUUUUAUUUAAGGGAAUGAUCACAGGGCUGGGAUAUGUCCAUGCAUCCCAGGACAAAACAAGAUGGCAUCUGGUUUCCUGUAAGUUUUUUAGGUUUGUUGUAAGACCAUCUAACAGUCGUCGGUUGGUGAAUGGUUAAGUUGGUAUAGUCACGUGAUAGAAUAUUUUGCAACCAUCAGAAAUAUUUAGGAAGGAUGAAUUCAUUAUAACAUGUAAAAAUGCUUAUGUCAAAGAACAGAACUACAAAACUGAAAGUCUUAAUAAUAGUAAAAACAACAGUAAUAGUAGUAAUAUAUCAUCCAAGGGGAG
ensembl:lncRNA